CCAAAUGGGGUCUAUUUAUCAUUCGAAACGCUAAUCUUGAAGGAGCAAAAGUCUGCUGCUGAGCUGUCAUGCUCGCUAGGCGAGCAGCAUGGUUCGCUUAGCAAAAGGAACUGUCAUGCUCGCUAGGCGAAGCGCAUGCGUUUUGGAAAAUAACAGAAAGUCAUGGGCUUGAGUUGCCCUCAUUUGAGCCCAUAAAGUCACAAACAUCAGGUUAUAAAUUCUAGAC
rnacentral:lncRNA from 1 species